CAGCCGCCGCGGUAAUACGGAGGGGGCUAGCGUUGUUCGGAAUUACUGGGCGUAAAGCGUACGUAGGCGGCUUUGUAAGUUAGAGGUGAAAGCCCAGAGCUCAACUCUGGAAUUGCCUUUAAGACUGCAUCGCUUGAAUCGUGGAGAGGUUAGUGGAAUUCCGAGUGUAGAGGUGAAAUUCGUAGAUAUUCGGAAGAACACCAGUGGCGAAGGCGACUAACUGGACACGUAUUGACGCUGAGGUACGAAAGCGUGGGGAGCAAACAGG
rnacentral:rRNA from 1 species